rnacentral:rRNA from 1 species
AUUGAACGCUGGCGGCAUGCUUUACACAUGCAAGUCGAACGGUAACAGGCCGCAAGGUGCUGACGAGUGGCGAACGGGUGAGUAAUGCAUCGGAACGUGCCCAGUCGUGGGGGAUAACGCAGCGAAAGCUGCGCUAAUACCGCAUACGAUCUAUGGAUGAAAGCGGGGGACCGUAAGGCCUCGCGCCAUUGGAGCGGCCGAUGUCAGAUUAGGUAGUUGGUGGGGUAAAGGCUCACCAAGCCAACGAUCUGUAGCUGGUCUGAGAGGACGACCAGCCACACUGGGACUGAGACACGGCCCAGACUCCUACGGGAGGCAGCAGUGGGGAAUUUUGGACAAUGGGCGCAAGCCUGAUCCAGCAAUGCCGCGUGCAGGAUGAAGGCCUUCGGGUUGUAAACUGCUUUUGUACGGAACGAAAAAGCUCCUUCUAAUACAAGGGGCCCAUGACGGUACCGUAAGAAUAAGCACCGGCUAACUACGUGCCAGCAGCCGCGGUAAGAC